GAGAAUAUGGCUCAAAUGCUAGAGCACAUGCUUAGCAUGCACAAGGUCCUAGGUUCAAUCCCCAGUACUUCCA
rnacentral:tRNA from 1 species